GGGAUUUUUAGGAGGAGAGGGACGGUGAAAGAGAAAGUGGAAGAAGAAGAAGGAUGGGGUGAAAGAAAGGUGGAGAGACGGGGAAGGAAGAAGAUGCUGCUGGGUCAGUUUUUUCUCAGCAGUCUGCUCCAGAAUCCACUCCUGUCCUCGGCUUUCUUUUCUUUUUCUUUUGCCUUCAGCUCUUUUACGGUUUUUUUUAGCUGCUCCUCGGCAUCUUGAAAUUUUUCUUUCAGCUGCUGUUUGGCCAGUUUCCCUUUCUGUUUGAGGAGCUCUUUAGCUUCCUUUUUGUGCUUUUUUAUUUCUUUAAGUGCAUCUUUGCAGUCUUUCUUGGUCACCUCAGAGCCUGUCAUUUCUUUCUUGAAUACCUUCACCUCAAGUUUCUCUUCUGCAAGUUCUUCUUGCACUUUCAUCAGUUCCUUCUUCAGAGUUUCACUUUCCUGUUUUGCCUCCCAUUUUCCAUGUGUCUCUUUUUCUAGAGCGUCUUGUGUUUCCAGCAACUUCUUCUUCAUGUUUUGAGUGUAACUCUUUGUAUCUUCCAUUUCUUUCUCUGCUUCCUGUAGUUUAAUUUUCUCUUCCUCCA